rnacentral:rRNA from 1 species
GACGAACGCUGGCGGCGUGCUUAACACAUGCAAGUCGAACGAUGAAGCCGGAGCUUGCUCUGGUGAAUUAGUGGCGAACGGGUGAGUAACACGUGAGUAACCUGCCCUUGACUCUGGGAUAACUGCGGGAAACUGUAGCUAAUACCGGAUACGACCCUCGGAGGCAUCUCCUGGGGGUGGAAAGAAUUUCGGUCAAGGAUGGACUCGCGGCCUAUCAGCGAGUUGGUGAGGUAACGGCUCACCAAGGCGACGACGGGUAGCCGGCCUGAGAGGGUGACCGGCCACACUGGGACUGAGACACGGCCCAGACUCCUACGGGAGGCAGCAGUGGGGAAGAUUGCACAAUGGGCGCAAGCCUGAUGCAGCAACGCCGCGUGAGGGAUGACGGCCUUCGGGUUGUAAACCUCUUUUAGCAGGGAAGAAGCGAAAGUGACGGUACCUGCAGAAAAAGCACCGGCUAACUACGUGCCAGCCGCCGCAGUAA